rnacentral:tRNA from 2 species
AGCCCCGUGGUGUAGUGGCCAAUCAUGCCGGCCUUUGGAGCCGGCGACGGCAGUUCGAAUCUGCCCGGGGCUA